rnacentral:rRNA from 1 species
CCUACGGGGGGCAGCAGUGGGGAAUCUUGCACAAUGGGGGAAACCCUGAUGCAGCGACGCCGCGUGGAGGAUGAAUGGUCUAGGCCUGUAAACUCCUUUUACCAGGAAAGACUUAGGACGGUACCUGGUGAAUAAGCCCCGGCUAACUACGUGCCAGCAGCCGCGGUAAGACGUAGGGGGCAAGCGUUGUCCGGAUUUACUGGGCGUAAAGGGCGCGUAGGCGGCCUGUUAAGUGUGAAGUGAAAUCUCCAGAGCUCAACUCGGAAACGGCUUCGCAUACUGGCAGGCUUGAGGAAUGCAGAGGUGAAUAGAAUUCCUGGUGUAGCGGUGAAAUGCGUAGAUAUCAGGAGGAAUACCCAUGGCGAAGGCAGUUCACUGGGCAUUAUCUGACGCUGAGGCGCGAAAGCGUGGGGAGCAAACAGGAUUAGAUACCCCUGUAGUC